rnacentral:rRNA from 1 species
AUGGCAGUUAAAACUGGAGCAGCACUCCUCCUCACCAGCCUCCUUGCUCUUGCAACCAUCGCCAGUAGCAACACUGAAAGUUUUGUGCUGCUGAUUUACGUACAAUUUGUUGGAUCCGAAGGUGACAUCCUUUACGCGCAAAGGCAGUCGUGGAAUGACUCCAAUGAUGUGCUGCUGAGUUGGGAUCCAACCCUUGACAAUCCCUGCUUUUGGUUUCAUGUCUGCUGCAACAACAACAACUCCGUCACCCGAGUGUAUGCCACACCCUUGUUCUUCUUUUCUCCUCCUUGUUCUGAACUGAAGGUCCAAACUGAUUUCAUCAUUCAGAAGCUAUGGGGAGUUAACAUGCUGACCGGCAUGGUGCCGCUGGAGGUCCUCUCUCUUGUUCUUGUCAGAGACUUGACUAAGCUAAUUUUCCAAUUGGCAUCUUUUGCAGUGGCUACGGUCAUCCAGGACACGCUCAAGUGA